CUCUAUGCCUCCUGCUGCCGGGACGCCCGCCCUUCCUUGCAGCCAGUGGACUAUGGACUGAAACCUCUACAAACUGUGAGCGAAAAUAAACCUUUCCAGGAGGAGAAUGGGGGGAAAAAAAGAAUCAAGGUGCCACGUACUCUGUCUCAGCAAUGAGAAAGUAACGAAGACAACUUCUAAUUGCUAUGACCAGCGAUGCAGUUACAAGUGAAAUGAAGAAUUUCCUGUGAUAUGGAAGUGUGAUGGACUGAACGUUGCAUCCUGAGAAGUCCUUACUCCCAGUGUGAUGGUGUUUGGAGGUGGGGCCUUAGCUCUCGUCUAAAUUGGGUUUAAAUGCGGUCACAAAGGUAGGUUCUCCUGAUGGGAUUUGUGUCCUUAUAAGAAGAAAAAAGAGAGACCA
rnacentral:lncRNA from 1 species